GCAAACUUGGUCAUUUAGAGGAAGUAAAAGUCGUAACAAGGUUUCCGUAGGUGAACCUGCGGAAGGAUCAUUAGAAAUGCCCGACAUCCCACGCGCCGCCGCCCUCGCGGGAGGCGACCGUCGGCUGUCGCGGUUAAUCUGUCCACCCCCUGUGAAACUUAUACCUUUGCUUCGGCAGCACCUUGCGGGAGACCGCUCGGGUAAGGCUGCCAGAGGCCCACCAUUUAAACUAGUUGAUGAGAUGUCAUGCUGUCUGAUACUUUACAAUUUGAGAAAUCAAAUUACGUUAAAACUUUCAACAACGGAUCUCUUGGUUCCCGCAUCGAUGAAGAACGCAGC
rnacentral:misc_RNA from 1 species